rnacentral:snRNA from 1 species
GGAUGUGAGGGUGAUCUGGCUGUGGCAUCUGUUACCCCACUGAUCACCAGGGUUUAUUCCACUGGUUUGGCUCCCUAGGCGAGUGUCCCCUUUCUCCCUCAAUGCUCCAAGUGCGUCCCUCCCAAAGCCGCACGCUUGGUGCAAGAAGGCGACCACUCCCGAUAGAGGAGGACCACUCCUGGUUCCUCGGUCAAGGGUAUGCGAGUAGCUGCGCUCCCCUGCUAGAACAUCCAAACUCUCAAAUGGGAUCUUGCUCUAUGUGCUGUUUUUAUCCAAUGUGCACAUCAUAGCUACCUUUUCAUGUCAAAAGGUGCAUCCUU